rnacentral:rRNA from 1 species
GCCAGCCGCCGCGGGAACACCGGCGGCCCGAGUGGUGAUCGUGAUUAUGGGUCUAAAGGGUCCGUAGCCGGUUUGGUCAGUCCUCCGGGAAAUCUGAUAGCUCAACUAUUAGGCUUUCGGGGGAUACUGCCAGACUUGGAACCGGGAGAGGUAAGAGGUACUACAGGGGUAGGAGUGAAAUCUUGUAAUCCCUGUGGGACCACCUGUGGCGAAGGCGUCUUACCAGAACGGGUUCGACGGUGAGGGACGAAAGCUGGGGGCACGAACCGGAUUAGAUACCCGGGUAGUCCCAGCCGUAAACGAUGCUCGCUAGGUGUCAGGCAUGGCGCGACCGUGUCUGGUGCCGCAGGGAAGCCGUGAAGCGAGCCACCUGGGAAGUACGGCCGCAAGGCUGAAACUUAAAGGAAUUGGCGGGGGAGCACAACAACGGGUGGGAAGCCUGCGGUUUAAUUGGACUCAACGCCGGACAACUCGACCGGGGGCGACAGCAAUAUGUAGGCCAAGCUGAAGACUUUGCCUGAAUCGCUGAGGGGUGGUGCAUGG